AGGGGCAGCGGGAUUGAAGCUUGCUUCAAUGCCGGCGACCGGCGCGACGGGUGAGUAACGCGUAUCCAACCUUCCGUACACUCAGGGAUAGCCUUUCGAAAGAAAGAUUAAUACCUGAUGGUAUGAUGAGAUUGCAUGAUAGCAUCAUUAAAGAUUUAUCGGUGUACGAUGGGGAUGCGUUCCAUUAGGUAGUAGGCGGGGUAACGGCCCACCUAGCCAACGAUGGAUAGGGGUUCUGAGAGGAAGGUCCCCCACAUUGGAACUGAGACACGGUCCAAACUCCUACGGGAGGCAGCAGUGAGGAAUAUUGGUCAAUGGACGAGAGUCUGAACCAGCCAAGUAGCGUGAAGGAUGAAGGUCCUACGGAUUGUAAACUUCUUUUAUAAGGGAAUAAACCCUCCCACGUGUGGGAGCUUGUAUGUACCUUAUGAAUAAGCAUCGGCUAACUCCGUG
rnacentral:rRNA from 1 species